rnacentral:lncRNA from 1 species
CCGUAAUGUGAAAAUUAAAUAAAUAAAUAAAUUAUAUUUAUAAUUUUUAAAAUAAAUAAAAAAAUUUAAAAAAAUUUUUGAACUACAAAAUUUUAAACUUUAAUUUUCGAACUAUCUGAACCAAUUUAAUAUUACCUUUAGAUAUGAUUUCAAUGAUAUUUUCUCAUCAAAAAUUUGAUAUGAUAAAUUUUAAUAUUUACAUAAAAUAAAUUUUACGUGCAUUAUCCGAAUCAGAGUUAAUGUGGCAAAAAAUAUUUUUAAAAAAUAUUAAUGAUAUAAAAAUUUUAAAAAAAAAUCUCUUUUCCCUAUGACUCUUUUUUUUUUUUCCUCUUCCCCCAUCCCUCCAUGCCCCCUUCCCCCUCAAGUCCGCCACCUUCCUUGACCUCUUUGCCUCCCAUGGUAGGGAGGUGAGGCAGCCAUCAUGGCAUCGGAGCUCUCGUCAUUGUUCACCAACACUUACCCUCUCCCUCCACUGUCGACGACAUCACAACUACCCCGAGAAGGGCAUGGCCUGGCACCAAAGUCGGCGCUCCCUCUUUUGAUAUUGAUAGGCACUUACCCUCCCCCUCCACCACCGUCGGCCUCCCCUCCCCUGCUGGUGCUCACGGCAGAUUUGGCUAGGGAGAUGCUAGAGCUCACAGCAGUGCCUGAGAUGAGCUAGAAUCGAUAACCAAGGCCGUCGCUUGUGUCGCCAUCACGCUCCUUUUAGGCCUUGAGGCAGAUCUAGAUGGAGCACGAGCGAUGUGUUGGGGUUCGAGCGGCUCACCUGGUCGGUCCUGUCCUUGAGGACACCACGAAGGGCGUCGCCAUAGAGGCGAGUCGGAGAGGUCAUGGAUGGUCAGCGACCAGCCCUUCUGUUGCUUGAUCGGGCACUCCCGCUCUGACCUGAACGAUGGUAGCCCCAACUUCUCGAACUCAUGCACGGCUCCGUCGGCAUGGACUUGGUCAUUAGAAAAAAUCAUAAAAAAAAAUCAAGAAAAUGCAUCAGGCCAACAAAUUAGAGAAUCGAAUAUCCUCCCUGUCCCCAAAAUCAUAGCAUAGUUUAAAACCGCCAUGAUUUAACUCGAAAUCGAUAAAAAUGAUGUGUUAUUUGGAGAAACCCAUGAGCAUUUAUUUCUUGAAAUGGCAACACAGAAGGAAAAACUCGAGGACGAAGCAUGGAUCGGGAUCGGAACACCUAGCUAGGGAUGGGUUGGCGUAUGGAGCCCUGGACCUGGAACAUCUAAGGAUGACAUUCCGGCUCGCUGCCGAACUCGAAGACGAAGCAGGGGUUAGGAUCGGCCAGGACGGUGAGCUAGCUAGAGCCAUGCCGACGAACUCUUGGACCCUCGAGGAUGAAGCAAGGAUCGAGAUCGGCUCGAACGAUUAGGU